CGACCGCUGGCGGCGCGCCUACCACAUGCACGUCGACCGAGCGAGAGAGAGCUUGCUUUCUUGAGCGAGUGGCGAACGGGUGAGUAACGCGUGAGGAACCUGCCUCAAAGAGGGGGACAACAGUUGGAAACGACUGCUAAUACCGCAUAAGCCCACGACCCGGCAUCGGGUUGAGGGAAAAGGAGCAAUCCGCUUUGAGAUGGCCUCGCGUCCGAUUAGCUAGUUGGUGAGGUAACGGCCCACCAAGGCGACGAUCGGUAGCCGGACUGAGAGGUUGAACGGCCACAUUGGGACUGAGACACGGCCCAGACUCCUACGGGAGGCAGCAGUGGGGAAUAUUGCACAAUGGGGGAAACCCUGAUGCAGCGACGCCGCGUGGAGGAAGAAGGUCUUCGGAUUGUAAACUCCUGUUGUUGAGGAAGAUAAUGACGGUACUCAACAAGGAAGUGACGGCUAACUACGUG
rnacentral:rRNA from 1 species